CCCAUUCUUACAAUUUCAAAAGCCAUAUUUCUAAUCCUAUUUAUACAAACAGCAGGAGUAACUUCGUCUUCCUCCUCCAUAUCAUUCUGUUCACGUUUCUUGUUUUUCUAACCUAAAUUUUCUUCACUUUAAAACAAACCCUAGCCGUCUUUCCCUUCCAAUUUCGCUGAGAAAUCGCUAGCCGUAAUCCCUUCCGAAGUUGACUGAAAAUUUCGAUCGAAACUGAAACCGAUUGAUCUCAGGCGUUCUAGACUCGUAUACCUUCGAUUCUACUCAUUCGCUUCGCUUAACGACCUGUCGACUGUUCGUACUUCAGAGGCGAACCAGAGUUAGAUUGCUUGUCAGGAUCACGUGGAUUUAGCAAGCAGUGAGUUUAUAUCUCUAUUUACCUCUUUAUUAAGCAAAUGUAUUAUUUUGUAUAUAUAUAUGUAUAAGCAGCUUUUGAACUGUUUUCGGCAUUGUGGAUUUGAUUUGGAACGUGCUACUCGAUGGGCAUCAUCGGGACUGCGUGCGCACCGGUAAUGAUUAUGGUAUUGAGGUAGGUUUGAGAUACGUCUCACCUUAGUGAGGGCACCGGUGGAAGAUACG